AGAGUUUGAUCCUGGCUCAGAACGAACGCUGGCGGCAGGCUUAACACAUGCAAGUCAAGCGCCCCGCAAGGGGAGCGGCAGACGGGUGAGUAACGCGUGGGAACCUACCCUUUUCUACGGAAUAACGCAUGGAAACGUGUGCUAAUACCGUAUACGCCCUUCGGGGGAAAGAUUUAUCGGAGAAGGAUGGGCCCGCGUUGGAUUAGCUAGUUGGUGGGGUAAAGGCCUACCAAGGCGACGAUCCAUAGCUGGUCUGAGAGGAUGAUCAGCCACAUUGGGACUGAGACACGGCCCAAACUCCUACGGGAGGCAGCAGUGGGGAAUAUUGGACAAUGGGCGCAAGCCUGAUCCAGCCAUGCCGCGUGAGUGAUGAAGGCCCUAGGGUUGUAAAGCUCUUUCACCGGAGAAGAUAAUGACGGUAUCCGGAGAAGAAGCCCCGGCUAACUUCGUGCCAGCAGCCGCGGUAAUACGAAGGGGGCUAGCGUUGUUCGGAAUUACUGGGCGUAAAGCGCACGUAGGCGGAUAUUUAAGUCAGGGGUGAAAUCCUUUGGCUCAACCAAAGAACUGCCUUCAAAACUGCAUAGCUUGAGGCUGAAAGAAGAGAGCGGAAUUCCCGGUGUAAGGGUGAAAUCUGUAGAUAUCGGGAGGAACACCAGUGGCGAAAGCGGCUCUCCGGUUCGGUCCUGACACUGAUCUGCGAAAGCUAGGGGAGCAAACAGGAUUAGAUACCCUGGUAGUCC
rnacentral:rRNA from 1 species